AAACAUAACCUUUCCAAAAACACGCGGAAGUAACCAACAUCGUAAAACUUUUUAAAUAACCAACUGUAAAGAGUACGAAUCAAAGGCCUGAAUGAAAAUAAAGAUUACAUCAAAACUUGUUCAUUCGAAUUUAAGCAAUAAAAUUGUUCGAUACCAACACUUCGGAAACUCUCAACCCCAACAGAAAACAAAAGACUCUCAACCCAAACCCUAUUCCUUAGCCUCUUCCUCUUCCUCUGAAGUGUAGUCGUCCUCCGGUAUUGGCACGUCACGUAGCAUCAACUCCCAAGAAUGAGUCAUCGCCAUUAUCUUCACGACCAUCUACCCCCCCAAAUAAACAAAUAGCAAACAAGCAGGGUCAGGUCCAACAAAAAGAAUGAUAAUGACAAAAUCAACAACAACAUAUAUAAUAUAAGUACAUUAUAUGUCUUUUAU
rnacentral:lncRNA from 1 species